rnacentral:rRNA from 1 species
CAGUCGCCACGGUAAAACGGAGGGUGCAAGCGUUAAUCGGAAUUACUGGGCGUAAAGCGUGCGUAGGCGGUUCGUUAAGUCUGUUGUGAAAGCCCCGGGCUCAACCUGGGAACGGCAAUGGAUACUGGCGAGCUAGAGUGUGUCAGAGGAUGGUGGAAUUCCCGGUGUAGCGGUGAAAUGCGUAGAGAUCGGGAGGAACAUCAGUGGCGAAGGCGGCCAUCUGGGACAACACUGACGCUGAGGCACGAAAGCGUGGGGAGCAAACAGGAUUAGAUACCCCCGUAGUCCCUGUCUCUUAUAC